rnacentral:misc_RNA from 1 species
AGUUGCCAAAAUUACAUCAAAAUUUACAUCUAAACAAAAGAUAAACAACCCAAAAUAAAGCCUAAAUUUCUUACAAGUCUAUGAGUGAAGAGCCAAUAUUUCACCUACAUGUGAAAAAUUAUACUCAGUUCAUAAUCAAAAUAAGAAGAAUCUUAUCCUGUUGAUGGUUCAGCUGCACUCGGUCACACACCCCUUCUACCAGAGUCAGACUUGGUCAAAGAUCUCAGCCUCACAAGAAGCCUUGCCUUCUUCUCCCAGUUGUUACCACCUUCCUUUCUCUUCUUCCCACCAAUCCUCCCCGGCGACGAGUCCCAAUUCUCCGGUGACGCUACUGCCAGAACGCUUUGUGGUGACCUUGUUACCGCGUCUUCAUAAUCUAUCAAAUGCUCCUUUUGAGUCCCGCUGCUCAAUAUUCUUGCCUGCAUUGCACCCACCACCUCCUUCAUCGCUACAUCAGCAUUCCCUCUGUUCCGCAACAUUAUCUCCCCUAUCUGCGCCGGAGUGAGGGCACCGGCACCAGAUCUUAUGCAGCUCUCCACCACAUCAAAUAGUGAAUGCGAUUCUAUCCCCAAAUAGUUCAUCGCCAAUACCUUGAAGGCAUGCAUCCCACAAUUGCCUAAACUAACAUGCACAUCCAUUCGGCCAUAUCUAACCAGCGCAGGAUCCACAUUCUCUCUGUGAUUGGUUGUGAACACUAUGAUCCUCUCUUCUCCACAGCAUGACCAUAAUCCAUCGGUGAAGUUCAGAAGCCCUGAUAAAGUGACGCGGCCGCUCUCCUCCUCAUUGCCCGAGUCCUUUCCGGUUGAUGGCUGGGAUCUUUUUCUUGUACUCUUUAGCAUUCUAUCAGCAGUUAAAUCCACAGAACAAUCAAUGUCUUCGAUCACAAUGAUAGACCUGCUGGUGGUUUGUAUUAGCAGAGCUCUGAGCUCGGAGUUGUCGGUGACUUUGGUGAGCUCAAGAUCAUAUACGUCGUAGCACAAAUAGUUAGCCAUUGCAGCGAUCAAACUGGACUUUCCGGAGCCUGGUGGACCAUAGAGCAAGUAACCCCUCUUCCAAGCGCGUCCAACUCUGUGGUAGAAGUCUCUUCCAUUAGCAAAUGAUUUCAAGUCCUCCAUUAUCUGCUUCUUCAAUUGGGGAUCGAGAGCGAGUGUUUCGAAAGUGGAAGGAUGACGGAAAGGAACUGAGACCCACCCAGACUCGUACGAGGCAUUCCCAUUGUUAGUAAAGAGCCUCCUCUCCCUUGACACCCGCUCGAACUCCUCGGCACGUGAUGUCACGUGUUGGAGAUACGGUGAGAGCAGUGUGGUGCAGUGGCGCUUUGGUAACUUGAGAGUGAAACUACGCUUCUCUUCUAGCGAGUCUUGGACAGUUUCGACUUGGUGAGUCCAAGAAAUAGAGUGGCCAUUGAAGGUGUCAUGGACAGUUUGAUUAGGAGCUACAGUGAAGGAUAUGCGGUUGGAGGACUUGGAGCGGGAGAGGGUAAGGCGACGGCAGGCAGCGGCGGAGGUGGAAGAGUUGACAGAGUUGAGAUAGAGAUUGAUAUGGCGGUAGAGGUCAUUUAUCUCAACACCGCAGUAGCCAUUAAACUCAGGGAUAUCGAAGUAUGAAUAAGGAGAGAUGAGAUCUUGGAGGGACUCAUAGAUGGAGUGGAGAAGGGAGAGGAGCUGUGUUGGUAAGAUGUUUUGGAGGACUGUAAGAAGGCCAAGGAGAGACCACAUUUGCGACAAAAUCUCCAUGUUUGUAUUUUGGUUGGUGAAUUGUAAUUUUGUCUUUGCCUAGCUAGUGGGUGUGCUUCAAUUUAUAUAAAUUAGAGGUGCAAAAGAUGAGAAGUUCUGGAUAAAGAAGAUGGUUGAAUUGGGUCACCAUUCAGCAGAGCAGAUAGUACAACUAUAGCUAGAUUGAUAUGGAAUCGUU